GGCCCACCUAGAUAUUAAAGAGACGAUCAUAUAAAUCAUAUAGAGAACACAAACAACCACAUAGGCUACAUUAAGUCCGUACAGACAGGGUUUGUGUCUGUGAAGCCAUGAACAAUGUGAGGAAAGAUCUGGACGUUGACUGCUGCCUCAUUCAGAUACUGAAUGAACUGCUCCAUCUGACAUACAGAGAGAAGGACAGAAAGAAGGAACAACACACUGAAAAGAUUGCUUUCGACAAAGCUGUUGCUGAGGAAUCCCCCGGCGGCUCUGCAGUUCUGAAGAAACCGCGAUGGAUUGGGCCGAGCCCGGGGGUUGGCCCCCACCAGCUCGCAGUAAUGAGGGACCAGGGCCUUU